rnacentral:rRNA from 1 species
GACGAACGCUGGCGGCGUGCCUAAUACAUGCAAGUAGAACGGAGUGGCGGACGGGUGAGUAAUGUCUGGGAAACUGCCCGAUGGAGGGGGAUAACUAUUGGAAACGAUAGCUAAUACCGCAUACUGUGAGAUGGACCUGCGUUGUAUUAGCUAGUUGGUGAGGUAAAGGCUCACCAAGGCGACGAUCCGUAGCUGGUUUGAUAGGACGACCAGCCACACUGGGACUGAGACACGGCCCAGACUCCUACGGGAGGCAGCAGUGGGGAAUUUUGGACAAGGGGGGAAACCCUGAUCCAGCCAUCCCGCGUGUGCGAUGAAGGCCUUCGGGUUGUAAAGCACUUUUGGCAGGAAAGCGGUACCUGCAGAAUAAGCACCGGCUAACUACGUGCCAGCAGCCGCGGUAAUUC